CUGCUUGCGUUCAUACACUGCAACUGUUUCUGCGGCGUUUUUUCGCAACGCCAUAUUUUGUUGGAAAUUGGAAAUGCGCUAACCAUUUUGACAUCCCACUGGUUCUUUUCCCCCUCAAAUCUCUCUCUCUCAGGUCUCAUAACUAAAAACCCUUUUACCCUAAAAUUUCAGAACUAAAAUUUUGUGCCAUAUCGGUCGUUCCUCCCUCCACAUUGUUCAGUUUCGACUUUAGAGUUUUACGACCUCCUUUCUGCUCAUGUUUUCUAGCCUCGGUUUUGCUAGCGUUUAUGGCCUCCGUACGACUCGUGCUAUCCGGACUUCGUUCUAGUCGCGUUUUCCGACCUCUGUUCUGCUUGCAUUUUCCGGCCUCCGUUUUCUCGCGUUUUCCGGCCACGAUAUCGCUUCGUUUCCUAUCACGUGUUCCACACGCGUUUUCUAGUGCCUCAGGUUCAAAUCUCUUGUUGAGACUUUCAGGUUGAAACUUGUACUAAAAUCUUAGUACUCAAAUUCCUUUCCAUCAAAUUUCAGAACUCAAAAACCUAAAAGUUAUUCUAUCCAAUAGAAUCUAUUGUGCUCAGGUUAGUUCAAAGCUUAUUGUUGCGCACAAGUUGAAAGUCGUUGCGACACAAACAUUGAAGGUGGUUGUUGCGCAUAGGUUGUUGCUUGUUGUGAACUCAAAUAUCUCUUGGUUCUCAGGUCAUUGCUUCGCACAAGUUGUUGGUCGUUGUGAACUCAAAUAUCUCUUGGUUCUCAGUUGAAAUGGUGAAAAAGAAUUUCAAUUGUAGUUCUCAUAAGACGUUCUAAUCAAUCAAACAUGUUUGCUUCUCUUUGCAUUUGACUAUCUAAAUAUCAGGUUUCGUACAUUCUUUACCUAUUUCUUAUUUCGUGUUUCUGCAUUUUUUAUGUUUAUUCAAUACACUUUUCAAAUAGGAAAACCAAACUAUUAGAAAAAUAAAUAUGCUGCAACCUGUGAAAAUGAUUAAAAGGUAUUGGUCAAUUACCUUCAAUUACCUAUUUCCUUAGACAAUUGAUGUUGUUGUUGUUGUAAGAUUGUUGAUGUAAUUCAAAUUUUUAGGCAACAUGCAAUUUGUUUUCAUUGCUUCAAGAAUCACUAGGCCAUAUCACUCCACAUGUAAAUUAAUGUUGUUUUUCUAGCUCUUAAGUGAAAUAGCACAGUCCAAUGACUAAUAUAUAUACUUUUGACAAAUUGAAUGAUGUAUUUGUAUCAAUUUUAAUGAUGUGUUUGUAUCUAAUGAUGGAGAAAAUGCAAGCUGAAAUCAAUAGUCUUAACAAAAGGGAUUCUGAAGUUGAUAUGUUGAAGGACAAAUUUCUUUCUUGUUGCAAAUGCAAAAUUCUAGAGAAAAAAAGACACAUAAUUGCCAAUAGAUGAUAGACAUUCAUCUGAGUUUAACUACCAAUUUAAUGAUCGUGGAACAACAUUAUUAGAGACUAAUUAGAUAUUUUGAUAUGUUUGAUAGAGUUGUCUUGUAUGUUUAGCAACUCCACUAAUCUUUUCAAUAUUGAAAUUACUUUAUUUAUUGUUUUAGUUAAUUUAAAUGUAUG